GGACCCGCGCCGUAUUAGCUAGUUGGUAAGGUAACGGCUUACCAAGGCGACGAUACGUAGCCGACCUGAGAGGGUGAUCGGCCACACUGGAACUGAGACACGGUCCAGACUCCUACGGGAGGCAGCAGUAGGGAAUCUUCCGCAAUGGGCGAAAGCCUGACGGAGCAACGCCGCGUGAGUGAUGAAGGGUUUCGGCUCGUAAAACUCUGUUAUUAGGGAAGAACAAAUGUGUAAGUAACUGUGCACAUCUUGACGGUACCUAAUCAGAAAGCCACGGCUAACUACGUGCCAGCAGCCGCGGUAAUACGUAGGUGGCAAGCGUUAUCCGGAAUUAUUGGGCGUAAAGCGCGCGUAGGCGGUUUCUUAAGUCUGAUGUGAAAGCCCACGGCUCAACCGUGGAGGGUCAUUGGAAACUGGGAAACUUGAGUGCAGAAGAGGAAAGUGGAAUUCCAUGUGUAGCGGUGAAAUGCGCAGAGAUAUGGAGGAACACCAGUGGCGAAGGCGACUUUCUGGUCUGUAACUGACGCUGAUGUGCGAAAGCGUGGGGAUCAAACAGGAUUAGAUACCCUGGUAGUCCACGCCGUAAACGAUGAGUGCUAAGUGUUAGGGGGUUU
rnacentral:rRNA from 1 species